UGACAGGUCCUGGUAUGAGGUUCCCCUCCC
rnacentral:piRNA from 1 species